GAAAACUUUGAAGGAGAAAAAGCCAGGACUGAAACAAUGAAAGAAGAGAAAAUUUUCACAUGAAGUGACACCGUGUCUACUUCUCCCCAAUAGUAUCACCCAGUCUCAGACCAUUUCAACAAAAUCUCUCCGGGAAUGCUCAUCAUCACUAGGAAUAUAAGACGAGAUCAUUGGCAACCAUCGGUCACAUGCUCCUAAGGUCUGACUGAGGAAAGGCAGUUGACUCACCAACAUGCAUUCCUCCUGAGGAGCUUGGUGUGAACUCACCAGCUAGGAGAACAUCACUUCCUACAAGUUGAACUGCUGCAUUAAGUAAAUAGAUCUGCUCUGAGAAAAGGGUCUCGCACUGGGUGAAGCCAGGCAGAAGCCAGCAGCAAAUGGCACCUGGGAAUUGAACUAUAGCCAGCAGGGGCUCCAGCAAGAAUUUAGAAGAUAGAGAAAAAGGCAUGAUGGAACUCUGGCUGGCCUUCUCCUGGUGCCUCUGUGUGACGGGCACAGACGACGUGAGCAGUUGCGUUUGCUUCCAAGAGAAGUGAUAGAGGAGCUUCGUGCAUCUCCGAAUUAUCUGGCUAUUGCUCAAUCAAACAAGAGCCUCUCUUGAGCCAGCCAGGAGACUGAACUCACAGGUAGGAGCCCGGAGAAACUCAUUGCUAAUUUUGAUUUCCAAGUUGUAACUUCUUUCGGGAUUAGGUUUAACUGUAGCUGGUAAGGUGAAGAUCUCACACGGCCACCAUCACCCUUCAAAAUAUUGCACGUUCAUAGGCAUCCACAGCCCGCUUGCUUGGUCACAUAGAUAACCGACUUAAGAGCCAGCAGCGCUCCCUCCAGCAUGAGUUCCUCCAGACAACGGAGUUAAGACAGAUGUGGGCUGAUGUGUGUACCUGUGGACUGUGAAACUGAUCCGUGAGCUUGCUCCCAGAAAGGGAGAGCCAUGCGCUGGGGGCUGGCUCGUGGGACUAGAAGGUGACAAACUGAGGCCGCAGGUUCUCCGUAUCAAGAUCAAGGGCACGUGUCGGCGUUCGUCCGUAGCAGCCGGGCUUGACCUUGACGAUGAGAAGGGAAAAGCAGCUGUGUGCUUCGGUGGCCGCCUAGCCUCCCAUCAGAAUGGUGUGCUUGCUACGUUUCCUGCUUCUCCUGCAGCAAUGCCCGUUGCAGCUUCUAUGUCUGAACCCGUGCCCACGACCAGGCCGGUGCAAAACACCCUCAAUAGCUAAAUAUACUUACAAAUUAUAAUAUACACAGUAAUGUGUACUAUAGAAAAAAUGUUAUAUGUUAAGUAUGAUUUUACUUUUAUUUUAAAUUAUACUCAGUGCAGUGAGAUAGUUCCACUAUGAGAGGCCCCUGGGAACUGAGACCAAAGGAAGAGCUAUUCCCAUCUCAAGUUCACUUGCUGAGUAUGGAAAAUUCCAGUAUAGACAGCAAGGCCCUGCUCCCAGGGGUUUUGGUUGAACUCAUCUGGGGUGGGUCAAAUAGUUCACCCAUCCAAGCAAGAUAUUUGACCCACCCCAGAUGAGUUGUGUUUUAAGGUUUGUCGUUUGAUCAAACAUAUAGCAUUGGUUG